rnacentral:lncRNA from 1 species
CUGUGGAUGACCCAAGUAGGGAUUAACACCAGCAUGUUUCUUCUCUCUGUGAAGAAUAGUCAUAAUGACUUUUAAGUGGUUGGCUUCCAACCCUAUUUUAUUUUUAUUUAUUUAUAUAUUUUAAGAGUUUAUUUAUUUAUAUUGAGAGAGAGGGCACGCAGAGAGAGAGGGUGAGAAAGACAAUCCCAAGCAGCCUCUGUGCCAUCAGCCCAGAGCCCGAUGAGGGGCUCGAACCCACAAACUGUGAGAUCAUGACCUAAGCCAAAAUCAAGAGCCAGACACUUAACCGACUGAGCCCCCUGGUUCCCCCACCUCAUUUUAUUUUUAAAUCUUACUUUUUUUCUCUUGUGUGUUUUGGAGUACUCUGGAUGUACAAUUUCUUGUUGGUUCCUGGAAGAAUAGUAUGGUGAACACAUGAUUGUUCUCUCCUCAGGGACUGUGAGUUCCAAUUCCUCUGACACAUACUGCUAUGGGGAGAGAGUCACGGGAUAACUGCACUUCUGGAUUUCUCAAAUUCUUCUGUGAACAGAAGAAUAAAUCAAAGAAGAACUCUUACCUUGCAAAUUUCAAAUAUGUACAAGAAUAGGAAAUACAGUUCACCUUUGAAC